rnacentral:ribozyme from 13 species
AAGAGAGAGAGAAGAGAGAGAGCAGAAAGAAGAAGGAGUUUUCACUUUUUUGUCUUCUCUUCCUCUUCUUUAUUAUCUGUUGUGAAUUGUUAUUUUUUUCCCUUUUGACAAAAGUUGGGGGGAGGGAUCUCGUGUUUCUGUUCGAUGAACUAACCGUGAAAAGAAAGAAUUUUGUUGAACAUUCAAAAAAAAGAAAAAGAAAAAGAAAAAAAA